UUUAUUCAGACCCCAAACCCAAAUCGAGAUAAAAAGGGGAUUUCUUCGGACCCCAAAUCAAACCAAAAUCAAAGAGGGAUUUCUUCGGAUCCGAAUCAAGUUGCAAAAGAGGAUUGCCUCGAACCCGAAAUAGAAUUAAAAAGAAAAUCAAGUUCACAUAAGAAACCAAACCAAAUCCACAAAUAAACCCAAACCCAAUCCAAAUCAAGUUCACAUAAGAACCCAAACCAAAUCCACAAAUAAGCCCAAACCCAAUCCAAAUCAAGUCCACAUAAGAACCCAAACGAAAUCCACAAAUAAACCCAAACCCAAACCAAACCAAGUCCACAAAUAAACCCACAGAUAAACCCAAACUUGAACCCAAAUAAACCCAAACCCAAUCCAAAUCAAGUCCACAAAUAAACCCAAACUUGAACCCAAAUAAAAUCCGAACUCAAAUCCAAACCAAAUCAAAUCCAAACCUAAAACCAAAUACAGUCCACAAAUAAACCUAAACCAAAAACCCAAAUAAACCCAAACCCAAAACCUAAAUUAAAUCCGAACCCAAACCCGAAUCAAGUCCACAUCUAAACCUAACCCAAACCAAGUCCACAUAAAGAACCCAAACCCAACUCAAAUCAAGUCCACAAUCCAAAUCCAAACCCAAAACUGAAAUCCAACUUCUAACUUAGGCUCAUGAACCUAAACCAUACCUAAG
rnacentral:lncRNA from 1 species